UGAUGUCACUUUUGAAACUGUAAUUUUUUGACAUUUGAAAAGUAAAAACUACGCCAGUAAUAAAAGUGGAACGAUACACGUUUCUACAAAACGCAUUGUCAUUGUAUAAAAAUGGUGAAAACCUGGCAGAGACGAUUCGUAAAACUAGAACAUUUUACGGUUGUCGUGAAACACCUUGUCGGAACGCAAUACAGAAAUUUGGGGGGGCAAAAAUCGAGCUGUUGGUGGGACGUGAUGUGAGGAAUAAAACACAUGCACGUUGCUCUAGAACAAUUGAGAAUUUUACUGCUGUAGCUCAAAGUACUAAAGAAAACCCAGGCUUGUGCAUUCCUCGCCUUGUCUUUGGCUAAUUGGGCUCUUGAAAUUCAUGAAAAUGAUCCGGAAUUUCAUCGAUAAUCAUCUUGACUGAUGAGGGUCAUUUCCACAUCGGAUGGCUAUGUCCAAAGUGAAGAAUAUCGCAACUGGAACUCAGAAAACUCAAGAUUUAUUGUUCAAAAGUCACUUCAUCCUCAGCAUGUUAACUGUUUGGUGUAGUUUAUGGUUCGGCGUGGUCAUUGGAUCUUACUCUUUCGCAAAUGGGGCUGAUGCGCCUGAAUGAGAUGAUAAUGAUCUGUAUGACGUUUACUUUCAACAAAGCGGCACCACGUGCCACACAAGCAACGAAAACAACGAUCUUUAAAGGGAAAAGUUUCCGGACCGUGCUAUUUCUCGAAGAGUUGAUUACAAUUGGCUAUCGACUUUUUUUCUUUGCGGCCACGUGAAAGAAAAGGUCUACGCCAACUGGCGAACGUUGUUUCAAGACCCCAAAGAUGGAAUUCGUGAAGCUAUUGAGUUGAGGGCCUAUAGCAGCCACUUGGCAUUUUGGUGAUGGAAAAUUUCAUAAAAUGUAUACGAUCCUGUUUUCCAUGAUUAAUGGCAUCUUCCAUUUUAUAUUGAAAUAACCAAUGAUCGUUUAUAUCCGAAAAUGUCAUUUUUUUCGAAUAUUAAAAUAACAUCCCUUUUUGGAAAACCCUGUAUUCAUAGUUAUCUUUAGUAUUAGUUGCUCAUAUUUUUUAUAUUUUGCCACUUCUCGUAUCUUUCAACGGAAACGUUUCCAACAAUUAAAAUCUUAUAAAAUAUAAAUGUAGCAUUUUUAAAACUACCGUUAUUACACUAAUUCUCUUUUCUUUUCGCAUUUUUAUUGCUUACGUACGAAAACUACCCAAUCCCAUCCUGCCAACAUAUUUCUAUUCAACCUACAUUUUACAUAUUGGCACGUACAUUUGUAUAUAUGUUAAUGAUGUGGUUACCACUUUCGCACAUAUUCAUUGCUUGUUACAAAAAAAAAAAAAAAAAAA